AGAAUCAACGCUGGCGGCGUGCCUAACACAUGCAAGUCGCACGAGAAAGGGUAGCAAUACCUGAGUAAAGUGGCGCACGGGUGAGUAACACGUGAAUGAUCUACCUCCGAGUGGGGAAUAACUGAGAGAAAUCUUAGCUAAUACCGCAUAACACUUACGAGUCAAAGCAGCAAUGCGCUUGGAGAGGAGUUCGCGGCCGAUUAGUUAGUUGGCGGGUAAUGGCCACCAAGACGAUGAUCGGUA
rnacentral:rRNA from 1 species